AUGGAUUAGCGGCGGACGGGUGAGUAACACGUGAGUAACCUGCCUUUGACAUUGGGAUAGCCUCGGGAAACUGGGAUUAAUACCAAAUGAUACUAACUGGUCACAUGAUUAAUUAGUUAAAGAAAUUCGGUCAAAGAUGGACUCGCGGCUGAUUAGCUAGUUGGUGAGGUAACGGCCCACCAAGGCGACGAUCAGUAGCCGGCCUGAGAGGGUGAUCGGCCACAUUGGAACUGAGACACGGUCCAAACUCC
rnacentral:rRNA from 1 species